UGUUUAAGAAGGUAAAUUUUAUACAACGUUACGGGCUCUCUGAGACGCGUCCCGGCGAGACAAGGUCGCGCGAUUUUGAAAACAACAUGGUCAUAAGUACGCAACUGCCGCGACCGCCUCCAUUAUUGUUUACGCCGCGGCGGCGGACGGAUCGGUGGAUCGCCGCCGCGGCGUAAUAAUUUCCGAAUUUUCUUGCUUGAUCACAAUAUACGCGCGCAUGUAACGUGUAAUAUUCGCGCGUGUGUGUAUGUGUGCGUGACGAUCCGGAGCAUCUUAAGCAAUAGCAGUGUUUCAUAGUCUUUGAAGAUCUGCUGGAGUUUGCGGCCACGCGAUAGCUGCGGUUACCGGGAGGCAGUUUCGACGGACGCCGAUGCCGCACCGGAGGAUCCGGUUCGGGCCGAGCAGAGUCGGCUUGAAGAUCCGCAGCAGAACGCGGCUGAC